GAAUUAGGGGGGAAAGAAGAUCCUGGAGACCUUGAAUCUACUCCUGCGAAGAGACAUGAGAGGUGUAGAGUUAGUGGGAGUCCACUGGUCCCAGUGAAAUGCAAACACUUGUUUUUUCCCUGUCUUGGUAGUGGUAGUGGGAGGCUUGAAGGGCUCUGGAUUCUGAUGCUAAGCACCAGACCACAUGGGCCAGUCAAGUUGGGUGUUUGACUAGGUUGGUUCACCUAUCAGACAAUACCUAGCAUAGUAAAAGUAGCUCAGGUUGCAGAGGAAGCUCUCACCAAACAGAAGACAAAUGUCCACUUGAUCUUGAUGUUCAGUACAGAUACAGACCUUGAAAGUGAGACUUCAUAAUCCUUCUGCUUUGGGGGAUUUUAAGCAUGAAGUAACAGCAACUUUACCACGGGGACAACUUGUUUUUGGUAACAUUCAUUUAUAACAAUGUCACUUUAGAUGUAGAUUGUGAAGCAGAAUUCACAAAGCCAUAUUGUUCAUCCACUACUAUGGAAUGUGAGUGCGGAUUCAACUGUCAUAAGACAGGUUUGUUUUAUCCUACUGUUGAUGUGUUGUUACCAUGGUAAUGUUGCUCAGUAAUAGAGCAACUUCAACUUCAGGUAUGUGGUGUAUGUGCUUGGUUGAGAAGCCAAAGGGUCAAAGCUACCAUCUGUGGGAUUAUGACUGAACAUUGAUUGCUGCUGCAUCAGAAUCCUGCCUAAGCAGAAUGAUGCAGCAGUUCCUAAGGAGCCUUGGUUAGCUUCAGAUACGGGUCCCUUCCUCUUCGAGCCAGGUUAGCCCUUGAGUCUGAUUAGUGUUUGUUUCCUCUACCUUGCAUUGAGGUUGGGUUCUAAUGUGGGGAGAGUACUCUGUUCUGGGAAAUGGGUGUGGUGAGAAAGUGGGCUAUCCAUUGCCCAUCAAGAAAUGCACAUUUGUGUGGAACAUUUG
rnacentral:ncRNA from 1 species